rnacentral:tRNA from 1 species
GGAGGGUAUAGCUCAGUGGUAGAGUGCGUGCUUAGCAUGCGCGAGGUGCUGGGUUCAAUCCCCAGUACCUCCA